rnacentral:rRNA from 1 species
CCCUUAGAUGUCCUGGGCCGCACGCGCGCUACACUGAGUGUCUGAGAUACGAGUCUGCCUGGUCCGGCAAGGUCUAGGUAAUCGCUAAAAGACACAUCAUGCUUGGUAUAGAUUAUUGCAAAUAUUAAUCUUGAACGAGGAAUUCCUAGUAAGCGCAAGUCAACAGCUUGCGUUGAUUACGUCCCUGCCCUUUGUACACACCGCCCGUCGCUACUACUGAUUGGAUGUUUAAGCGAGGUUCUCGAACUGCUAGCGACUUAGCUUCGGUGAGGUCGCAGUGUGGGAAGUGAACCUAGCUUUGGUGUCUAGAGGAAGUAAAAGUCGUAACA